rnacentral:rRNA from 1 species
AAAAGUCGUAACAAGGUUUCCGUAGGUGAACCUGCGGAAGGAUCAUUAUCAUACANUGGAGGUGCGAGGGGCUGUCGCUGACCCAUGGAAAGGGUCGUGACGCCCAAAGCACUCUCACACAUCCAUCUCUCACCCCCCCUUGUGCAUCAACGCGUGGGCUCCCUUUGCGGGGGGCUCGCGUUUUUACAUAAAACCCUACGCAGUAUAGAAUGUCGUUUUCUUUUUGCAGUUGCAUGCAAUCCAUACAACUUUCAACAACGGAUCUCUUGGCUCUCGCAUCGAUGAAGAACGCAGCGAAAUGCGAUACGUAAUGUGAAUUGCAGAAUUCAGUGAAUCAUCGAAUCUUUGAACGCACCUUGCGCCCCUUGGUAUUCCGAGGGGCACACCCGUUUGAGUGUCGUGAAAAUCUCAAGACCCUUUUCUUUGAUAAGGGUUUUGGACUUUGGAGGGUUGGUGCUUGCACUCAGUUUUUGAAGGGCGAGCUCCUCCGAAAUGAAUUAGUGGGGUCUGCUUUGCCAAUCCUUGACGUGAUAAGACAUUUCUACGUUUUGGAAUUUUGGUGAUGUGAUCCCCUGCUUCGAACCGUCUCACGGACGAAUGGUGGUGCUCUGGUCACCCCCGCCCUUUUGCGGGUUGGGGGGCUGGACCCACAAAAAAUAACUUUGACCUCAAAUCGGGUGAGACUACCCGCUGAACUUAAGCAUAUCAAU